rnacentral:lncRNA from 1 species
UGAAAUACGGUAACUCAUUCCUAUUGUGGCGCAGCAGAAAUGAAUCUGACUAGGAACCAUGAGGUUGCGGGUUUGAUCCCUGGCUUUGCUCAGUGGGUUUAAGGAUUUGGUGGUGUCUUGAGCUGUGGUGUAGAUCGCAGGUGCGACUUGGAUCCUGCAUUGCUGUGGCUCUGGUGCAGGCUGGCAGUAACAGCUCCAAUUAGUCCCCUAGCCUGGGAACCUCCAUGUGUCACGGGUGCAGCCCUAAAAAAAGACAACAACAACAACAAAGAAUUCUAGCUGUUUUGAAGAUGUGAUAGCUGGGAAAUGAGUAGGGGGUCCCAGUACUGCGUGUCUCUGUCUGUACUUCUUAGGAACCCUUCAAGGGAUGAAGGCCUAGCGCUGCGGCAUGGUUACCAUAUGUAGCAAAGAUUCAUUUUAUGAGGAGUUAGUGUCACAUUUUCCUCCUAAUCUCAUAAUAUGUUGUAAUUGAAGAAAAGUAGGUCCUAAUUGAAAGCUGAUGAUCCAGCAGGGUGAUCAAUAGCAUGAUGCUCUUUAAAAAACAACAAAAACAUUAGCUUUCCUGCUGCCUGAAUAUUGUCAAAAGCCUUUGUGUGUUCCAUGACUUCAAGCUGAGUGUACUUAAUCAUUUUGAGAAUGUGGCCCUGAGCACUAAGCGUGGCCCUUCCAGUGAAGCACUGAGAAUUGUGUUCAGAAGAGUGAGGUAUUGAAUAGAAAUGCUCUCUUGGCUUACUUUCAGCCUUCGUUUUUCCAGAGGCAAGAAUUGAGCCGACAUCCCUUCAUUGAAACAAAUUUUAGCUGCUUGUGUGUCAUUUUUUUUUGUUGUUGUCAGCAGGUGUGACUUAUUGAUAACUUUGCCUCCAAAGGAAAACAUCUUAAAAGACUAACAGGUUUAAGCAGUGUGUAUUCAGUAAAUUGCCUCUUAUUAGAGAAAGAGAAGCAGUUUUUGGGAACUGGAAACUGCAUGUCAGAUGUUGGAGGAAAACUCAUUCAUCAAACAUUUAUUGUGCCAGGUGUCAGACUGGGGAUAUGAGAAGGCAGUUGGCGCCCUCAAGGAGCUGCCAGUCUAGUGGGAAAGACAAAUAUUUAAUUAGAGGCACACUGGUUUUUUACCUUGGCUGCACACUGGAAUAAGUUGGGGAAGUUGGAGGGGAAGAAAACAGUACCUGGAGAUUCUGAUUUAAUUGGUCUAGGGUGUGGCAUCAGGGCUUUUAAAAGCUUCCUGAGUAAUUGUGUCAGGGUUGAAUGUGGUAGGAGCUGCAAGAGUGGGGAAGCACAGGGUGCCUUAGGGGGUGUCUAGGAUAAGAAGGGGGCAGGGGUAUUGAGAAGGCUUCCCAGAGAAGGGGAAACACCUGAACUAGGGCUUGAUGAAUGAAUUUGCCAAGUGAAAAAGACUGGAAAGACAGUUCCUUGCAGAAGAGUAGCUGAAUGAUGUAGAAUAGUAAAGUGGUUAGUGUCUUUGGAUGAUCCUUGCCGAUUCUGCUACUUCCUCACAUUUCAGUGUCCUCAUCUCUAAACUGGGGAUAAUAAUACUUACAAAGCUGUUAAAGAUUAACUGAGACAAUGCAUGUAAAGUGCCUAGGAUCGUGCCUGGCACACUGGGAAUAGUAGGGUAGUAUGGUAAUGAUGUUAUCAUUAGAGAAUCAGAGCAUGGUUUGUUUAGAGAGCUACAAGUACUCUGUGGCUGGAUCUUAGGGUGCAAGGCUGCAUGAGGUAAGGAUGGGUAGCAAAAAGACGAUUGGCAGAUGGACAGUGUUACAGAUCAUGGAGGUAUAGGAGUGUAAGGCAAUUAGUAAUGGAAUAUCAUGGCAGAAACAGGACAUUUCCAUAGUAAUAGGUUAUGAUAUGAUGUGUUCUGGGAAAGCUUGGGUCCAUAUUGGAAAACUGGCUUGAGAUAUGAUAUUCCUAGCAUCAUUACGUGUAGUAAAUUACCAGCGAGUGUUAAUAGGGCAGAAAUAGGAUUUUCAGUUCCUUUAACCAAGUAGUUAAAAAGGUUGAGUGUCUUAGGAGUUCCCAUUGUGGCUGAGCAGAUGAAGAACCGAACUAGUAUCCAUGAGGCUUGGGGUUCAAUCUCUGGCCUCUCUCGGUGGGUUAAGCAUCUUGUGUUGCCACAAGCUGCAGCAUAGAUUCACAGAUGUGGCUUGGAUUUGGUGCAGCUGUGGUGUAGGCUGGCAGCUGCAGCUUGGGAUU